rnacentral:rRNA from 1 species
AUCACUCCACCUGAACACGCCCGAUCUCUUCUGGUCUCAGAAGCUAAGCAGGGUCGGGCCUGGUUAGUACUUGGAAAUUAUUAUUAAUAAAAAAAAUAAAGUUAU